AUGCAGGGGAGAAUGCAAUUGCAGUGUAUGCAUGACCAACAAUGGAGAGAAGCCGACCGGGAAUUUAACCCGAGCUGCCAAGGCAUCGGGGUGCUCCUCCGUCCACGAGUUUCUAAACAAGGGGCGUACGUGGUGGCUGCAGCACAGAAUUUGGUAAUCCCUCUCAAGAGUGCAGACGCUGCUAAAUUUGAGGCUAGUGCAGGGUUAUUAAAUCUAUUGGGCCAUACCAAACAUUUUUUUAAUCGCCUGCCAGAUUUAAAUUUACCUCUUGGUCCCUCAGAGGUUGGGUUUCAAGCCUUUCAGGCCCAUACCAACGCUGAUCUGAAUAUGAAGAAAGAGCAAGAUAUUUUGAAUAUUGAUCUCAACAUGACAGUACAGAAUUUGUUUGUGAAUUAUGCACCCAAUGCUGAUGAAAGCGAGCUUGUGGAUGACAGUAUUGAAAUCCUAAAUGAAGGAGAAUGUAAAAUCCAAUCUCUUGCUUUGGCACCUAUCCAGGAGAACAAGGUUCUAUCAUUCAAUGAACUGAUUCAACCUGACAAGUUGGACACUCAGCCUAAUAUCACUGAUGGUUCUUCAAAGAAUGUUGGUGUGGCCACUAGGGAGGAAUCUUCUAACCCCAGGCUGGAGAUGGCUCCCCUUGGUUUCUAUAUAAAAGACUUUCAUGUGGUUGGAAGUAAAGCAAUCCUCAUUUCUGAAGCUCGUUUUGCUCCUGGGGUUGAUAUCUCUAAGGUGGUUCAGGCCCCCACUUCCAAGAUGCAGCUACCUAAUGUGGAAAAAGAUGAUGUUGAUAUUACUUUUUCCACCCAUCAAAACAAACGUACUACCCCUCUAACACCAGGAGAAACACCAGAGCAGAUCUCCACCACAAGUGAAUUGCGCGUGAAAGGAAAAAGGAUGAAGAGAGCUCCCCUUGUGGAUCUUAUUGCAUCUGGGGUGAAACCAAAGGAAAAAACUGAGGACAUUCUCAACAAGAAGCCUAAUAGGAGGGUGGGUAAAGUAGCCACCAUGAAGGGUGACACCACUGCUGCACAAUGA
rnacentral:rRNA from 1 species